AGUUCCACAAAAACAAAAAAAAAAAAGAGUGGAAGGCUAUAAACAGUUGUCUAAUCUUAGAUCGUUUGAUAGAAGUUUGUUAACCUAAACGGUGACCGGGGUGCCUACAAGGCCGCGGAUUUACCUCAAGGAGAGAAUAGGAAUGGACGGAGGUGGAGGAGGUGGCAAUGAAAGCGGUAGAUUUAUCCGUCCUCUCCGUCCUGAGCAGCGCCAGUUCGGACGAGAGGAUGGCAGUGAUCAGUGUGAUGAUAAUUCUGACCAUGAUCAGUGUCGGAGAUAGAAAGACUACAAGCGCCACAAUAACCUAAACAAAAAUGGUCAUGACCUUUACCGAAUUCGAAGCACAACCGACGAAAGCAGCACGUUACUGGACUGCAAGUCCAGUAACCAGUAAGCUGGCUACAAAUCUCCUAUGCCUAUACCUACUUGCAGCCAACCUCGUGGAUAUCAGCCACAGACCAGAAAUGGAAUAACCAGUGGAACAAAUCUUCCACAUAAAAGCAGAGAAGGUGAACGGGAAACCUGAAUGAGGGUCAGUUUGGUGGCAACAAUAUACAGGCUGGCAGUGAUGCCCUCAAAAUCAUCAUUAUCUUUGGCGUGACCAAGGGAAUCACCAAGUUUGAAAUCACGAGCGCAUUGUAAAGGGCUGAAUACACGUCAAACGGAACAGCGUCAAAGACUCGAUGAAUAUCCAUGGAAAUUAAUCAAAUAAGUAAGAAAAUGGACGGAAGUGUUUAGCUAUGUUUGCAAUAGAUAAUGAUAAUCGAUGAACUUCGAACCAAUGUUACAACCCCAUCGGAUCCAUCAUCAUUUUUUGACGCAAACGUUUUGUAUCUGCUUCUGUUUGAAAUUUAGAUCCGUCAAGCGGUAUAGCAUUUAUCGAAUUUACCACCGUUGAGGAAGUGAAACAAUGGAUGGAGUUAACACAGUUAUCAGCGCCAUAAGCAAGACAGUUUUGAAACCCAACCAGCAGUCGGCAGUGAUCAUGAAAUGUGUGUUUCCGGCUUAGUUAUCUCACAGUAUAAAAUCAUAAGAUUAUUGAUUGAAAAGAAGGUCUGAAGAGAAGUACCUACAAGGUCUAAGACAUGACACAUGACAGGUCUUGACACGCUCGUUGACUCGAUGGAGUUGCACAAUUCCUGUACAUCGCUGGAUCCACCUCUGACCCUAGAUGAACGUGCUGUAUCUAUCAGCUACAACAUCGAAGCUGACAUCAGCGAAAAAAUAACCGAGACGUCGCACCUUAUAACCUCUACUAUGUAUGUCCCCUGACAUCGGAGGCAUUCAGUGUGGAGGUAACCCGGGUGAGACUGCGUAUUACGUUCAGUACUACACGGACUACUUCACGGCGACGAUAGCCAAGAUCGAAAACAGUGGAGAUACCAAGUUAACUGAAGCGAACUCUGAAGCGGUAGCCCUCUCGGCUAUCCAACGUAAGCAGGAGAAAAAUAAAUUUAGUGAGUCGACGACUAGAGCUGCUCAGAAUGUGAGUAAUAGUUCCGCUCCUCUUGGUAGUCGCCGUCAAUCAGGUCGCAGUAGAGAUCCUAGUUCUGACUGCCGCCGGAAUGUCUAUUGUAAUGCGAGGAUCG
rnacentral:sRNA from 1 species